rnacentral:lncRNA from 1 species
CAAUAGUUGAGCUGGUGAAGCUGAGGUUGUUCUGGUAGGCUAUGACUUCUCUAGAUGUUUUCUGACUUACUUCAGAACAUAAAGUAGAGGGUUGUAUUGCUGACUUCACUCCCUGUGUUUUGGGUCAGGAGAGAGCUCCUUGUUUCUGGAUGGCCUCAGGUUGAUGACCCCUUCUGCCAACUUCCAUGUGGUGCACAACCAAAACAAAGUACAGGGUGCAGAUGCGAGCUGUAUUUCAUGCCAUGACUUCAGUUGUCUGACUCUCACACUACAUCGCUCACCUACAAAUGAGAUGCCAUCAUGUAAAAGAGGCUUUAUUAUCUCGUUUCUUUCAAACCUACUGUUACCUGCAUGGAGCUCUAUUUCUGAAUGACUUCAUUGCCAAGAAGCUAGAAUAUGAGAAAUGCAGCACCUGGUCAGAUGGUCUGCUCUUAUAGCUGGCAAGUCCUUCCAAGUGUCUAGCUGCUGAAGGCGUUUCAUCUCACUGUGUCAGUCAUGGCUCACAACAAAGCAGCAAAACUGGUAAACACUACAAGCAUGGUUUUUUUUGUUUGUUUGUCUUUGUUGUUAUUUGUUUGUUUGUUGUUUAGUCACACAAUGAUGGAUGGAGAUUUCAAAAGAAAUAGAAAAAAAAGCUGGAGAUGAAAAUGACCCCUUGGGAAUGGUGGUAAGAUACGUGUUCUUCUUUCCUAAGCAUUUCAUAAAUGUGGGCUGAGAUGGCAAGGUUGUCAUAGCUGGAUAUCACUGAGAUAUCCCAAGAACUAGUAAGCUUUAGCAGCACUGGGAGGACACCGUGGUGUUGGGGAUAAGGAAAAAGCCAUGAAGGCUUAGCUUGCUUCUGGUAUCCCAUGCACCCCUGCAUUUGCUAUCAAUGAAAUUUCCACUCAAAAUGGCCGACAGUCUUGUUUGAGAAAUUUAAAUUUAAAACAUAUGGAUAAUUAAUACUUUUUUCUAGUCUGUUCUUGAAUACCCAGUUAAUAUUUCAUCCUAUGUGAAACAGUCUCUAUAUGUUGAGCUAAGCAGGGAGCACAUUUUACAAUUUUCUAUGGUAGAAAGGGAAAAGGCAAAGACAUUCCAGGUAAUUCACAGGAAAUCUGAAAUACUUAGAUGAAUUAACAGUCCGAUUUAUAGUGUGGGCAAUGCCAGCCAUGUCUGGGUGUGUACGAUGCCAUUGAAGAUGGGAGUGAAAGAGGAGCACAAGAAAAGAAGGGGAAAAAAAGCUGCAGACUUAAAUUCAAGAUUUUUAUAAAUGGCCAUUACUCUACUGAUUUUACAGGCUGGUUUCACAAAGCCUGGAAUUCAGGCACUUCACUUGUCUUCAGACACUUCAUAGCGUCUUCUACACUGACUCAGAGGAGCUGGUACCACAAGACCUGUUGCAUAAAUACUUCACCUAUGUUUCUCCCACAGCAACAAAGAGCUGUGAGAGUGUUAUUAAUAAUGAGUCAGACCACUGAAUUCUCUGUAAGUGCUUUCAGGAUAGCAUAGCAAAUUUAUAAAUUCUUAACAUUUUCCAGCUAAUGGUCUUAUAGCAAGAAUACCUUCACAAAUUCCACUCAUGGAUAUUUGUAAACCUCACUUUUAAUGGCAAAUAUUAUUUUGGUUUUGUCAGUUGCAUUUGUAGAGAGGCUACAUUGUUGACAAGGUUUUUCUUAGUUAGUUGUUUUUUUCCUAGAGCGACCCUGUACAUUUUCAAAUGAACUCUUUCUUCAUAAUAAAAUAUGUCAAACUUCACUUUUGCA